rnacentral:rRNA from 1 species
UGGGGGAUAUUGCACAAUGGGCGAAAGCCUGAUGCAGCGACGCCGCGUGGGGGAUGAAGGCCUUCGGGUUGUAAACUUCUUUUGCUCUGAACAAGGCAUGCCUUUGGGGUGUGUUGAGGGUAGGGGUUGAUUAGCGCCGGCUAACUACGUGCCAGCAGCCGCGGUAAUACGUAGGGCGCGAGCGUUGUCCGGAAUUAUUGGGCGUAAAGGGCUUGUAGGUGGCUGGUUGCGUCUGUCGUGAAAGCUCAUGGCUUAACUGUGGGUUUGCGGUGGGUACGGGCUGGCUUGAGUGCAGUAGGGGAGGCUGGAAUUCCUGGUGUAGCGGUUGAAUGCGCAGAUCUCAGGAGGAAUACCGGUGGAGAAGGCGUGUCUCUGGGCUGUUACUGACGCUGAGGAGCGAAAGCGUGGGGAGCGAACAGG